CUUUCCUGCGGCUAGCUGAAGAACUGGGGGUGGGGAGUGUGGUGAGGAAGGAGUUGGAGAGGCCCUGUUGAGGAGGCCGAGACUCAGAAGAGCCUGGGAUAAUCGGGACCGAGAUCGCCUAAGGAAUGGGUCUCUGAGUGGAGGGGCCAAGGCAGAAAAACCCGUCCUGCUGGCUGAGGCCUGGCUUGGCCCGGCCACACUGCUGCCAGUCUGGCUGAGCUGCACUCUGCAAAAUACGUGACCAGAUGAAGCCAUAGGAGAUAGUGGCAGUUGUGGGGCAGAGGUGCAAGCCUGCCUACCUGCUGCCCAGAGACCGGCUUGACUCCAAGACCCCAGUGUCUGACGAGGCCUGACCUGCCUUAGCUGCUCAGGAUUGAGAAAAUCUCUGAUUCAUAAUAAAAUGGUCUACGAGUUCCCGAGCUCUUAGAAAGUACUGGAACUUAUGCUAUAAGCAGAGCGUGAUGACCUAGGAUGCAUUUACACUGCAGCAGUUAAAAAAGAAGUGAAUUCAUACAUGCUGACAUGGAAAAAUGGCCAAAAUACAUAGUUACGUGAAGAAAACAAGUUGCAAAGCAAUAUUUAAAGCAUGAUUCUAUUAAAAGUGUGUGUGUUGUGUAGUAUACUAUCUAUACUAUGCAAGUGUAUGUAGAUGUGUUGAUAUACAUGUUUGAAAAGCCAAAAAGGACAUUUGUCAUGUUACCAGUUAUCUACGGCGUUGGACCAGAUUUGAGGGGGAGGUAGUUUACUGGGGAGUGGAACAUGGGACACUUCCAUUUCUAAAUUUUUAUCAUCUUUCAGGUGGAAGAGUUACAAAUGAUUUUUGCUUUUUAAAAAGUAUUUCCAACCCCCCCAAAAAAACCCACAAUGAAAAAAAUGAAAAAUAAAAACAGAAAAAGAAAAAGAAAGAGGAAAAGUAAAAUAAAGAAAAAAGACCAAAAAAAGAAAAAAAUACUACAAAAAAGAGUAAAAACUAUUUUCCCUAUUCUUUUUUAUUUGUUUUGUUUUGAAAACUACUUUCCAGCAGUAUCCUGCUUUAUUUUAUUUUUUUAUUGAAAUAUAGUCAGUUUACAACAUUGUGUUAAUUUGUGGGGUACAGCAUAGUGAUUCCAUUUUAUAUACAUAUUCCUUGUCAUAUUCUUUUUCAUUACAGGUUAUUACAAGGUAUUGAAUACAGUUCCCUGUCCUGUACAGUAGUUCCUUAUUGUUUAU